CAUAGCAGGGGGGUUGAAACUCAAUGAUCGUUGUGGUCCUUUUCAACACAGGCCAUUCUAUGAUUCUACGAUUCUGUGAUCAGUUCUUCGCAUUCUCUGUUUAGGGAGCCUGUGUGCUUUACAGUCCAACUGCAUUUCAGCCCAGGUACCAAGCACUUAGGAGUUGGGCAGUGGAUCACUUAAAAUGCAGGAACUAAGCCCUUUAUUAAACCUGCUCUCAGUCAGUAACUUACCGACACGAGCCAAACUGAUAUACACAAGGGUUAAAAGGAUUAACAGAAAUCUACAUUGGAGAUUUGCACCAGAUGAACCAGAUUGAUUUUUAAAUCCACUUGAUUAAAUGGGUGUACUUUUUCAAGACUGAUUCAUUUAGCAAUUUCUCCCUCAAAGGCUGCGCUGAUAUUUUGCAUACAGUGACUAAUUACUUUUCAGAACACGGUGUACUUGUUCCCUGCUUCUGUGGACUCUGCACAGUCACUACAUCUGGGUAAAGUGGGCAGAAAGUGCCUUUCUGCUUGACAGUACUUCACACCACUCUGCAGGGAUGCACACAGGAUCGCAAAAGGGCCAAGAGAACGCCGGGCUGUUGCAACUGGAGACGGAGCUGCAAGCAGUGGAAAAAUACCAUACCACAGCCUUCCCAGGUGCUGGGGCUCUAUAGCUGUCUGUAUGCAGUGCAAACAGCUCUGUUCGGGUGGGAGCAGAGCGCAGAGCUGGCAGAGCCCUUAAGCAGCACAGGGUGGGACGGACACUCUGCCUGUUGGUCCCAGGAUAGCUGUGGGACAUCUCAGGGUGCAGAGCUGGCAUCCUGCUGCCCUCCUGCUGACUGGGGCAGUGAUGAGUGAUCAUUUCAUACCAGCUGUUCUCGUUUAACUGUCUUUCCAGGUUAAAUCCUUGAACCCCUCUACUCUACCACUCUGCCGCUUUCUCCCCUUCCCUAACUUAGCAAGCCGUGUUUGUUUGGCUCUGGCUCAGGUUUGUGCAGCUUCUUUUUCCUGCCUCCUUCAUUCACAAGUGGAUUUCAGAAUAAAAGCAUUCCAAGUCUUUCGAAAUCUGACAACCCUCCUUAGUGAAGCACAUUUCAGUGUAAAAGUUGAAAAAUCUUCUACAGUUCUCCUCCUCAGUGAUGCCCACAGGACCCAGAUGAGGAGCUGAUUUUACUGAUAGCCACACCUUCAUCCGUUGUGCUAACUAGUAUUUUCUCACUGCCAGUUUGUGCUCUUAUUUUAUUUCUGUGCCCCAUUUUACACAAAAACAGUUUAUGGGACGUUGUUGAUUUGGGGGAUCUAUGGCUAUGAAAUACUUGGUUUUUACCAUCCACCAUUCCCUUGUGCAGGUGUCUCAGGUGCUUCCCUGCUGACCAGCCUGGCGGUAAGCUUGAAAGGACGCUUUGUUCAAUCAAGGGCUCCCUCAGGCUGUGCUGCUUUGACAAUUGCACAUCUCCAUUUGCUCCCAAGGCAGAAGUGUGUGGGAUAGCACAGCAGGAGCUGACAUGGCAGUAUGGACGCCAGCACGAGGCUGGCAUUAGCAUGAAUGCAUUGACCAACACAGGCACGGGGACAGCCUCAGAGAGGGCUCCAGUGAAGAGGUGCAAAUCUCUGAAUUCAUCUAAAUUGCUACAGUCAUGUGCUGUCCCUAAAUACCAUCUCAUUAAAGUUAAUGCACCAUACUAACAUAUCCACCUAAUACCGGUAGUAUCAUGCUGGCGGUGCUGUCAUGAGCAGGAAGAGGAAAGCCUGUGGUCAGAAGAAGCCCUUUUGAGAAGCAUAUAAGAAGGAUCUUAUUUCUUAAAUGCUAUCACCUUGCACACUGUAAUGGUUAUGCUCACACAAAAAAAAAAAGAAAAAAACCUGUAACAACAAGAGAAGCAGAACUGGGACAAAACCUCCCCCGAGAUGCAUCUCCAAAGCACUCGGAUGCAUUCAUUUGCUCUCUGUUGCAGUGCAGGAAACCUGGCUGCUGCCUGUGCCAUUCGUGCUGCUGCAUCUGUGCACACACAUGAGGAGGUGGGGGUCCCACAGCCCCCCAGACCAGCCCUGGGGAUCCUGCUACUCUCCCAUUACUGAGUUGCCAGGAAUGUUGAAAUCCACUCUAAGAAUGUUCUUGAGUAUCUCUGUAAUGUUCUGCACUUAACAAAGAGAUCUCAGCACUGGAAAAUUUGUUGCUGGAAGUUUCUUGCACACAGCCAGGCAGGGCUGGAAGAGCGACUUGCUGUAUGACUUCUCUGCUUUCUUGGAGGUAGUUUUAAACAAAUGUGGAAAUUUCCAGCGUUGUUAGUGCCUACACAUUCUCCCUGUUCAAGCUGCCAGGAGCUGCUUGUGACUGUACACAACCUUUACUGUGACCUGAGAGGGUAGGACACCGCUCGGCCUAAAGGAAUACAGAGUGAUUGGUGAUGGGGAGCUGCUUGCCAAGCCAGGCUCUGGCUGGGUUCUGCCCCUUACUGCAGCAAUGAAAUUCCUGUCCCAGUGUCCUCAUCUAUAAAACAGAUGUCUGCCCACAUUGUGCUGAUGUGGUAAUUACAGCACAGAAUAAACAGUGUAAAUCCCUGCCAUAGCCUAAACAAUUCUCCUGACUUUAGCAUUGAUGGAUAAGGUGUGAAUCAUUGUGGAAAUUACUGAAGUAUCUCUAACUUAUAGCAAAUGCUGAGAAGUGGAAAGAAAAAAGAAAGGAGAUGGUAGUGCCUGACCUUGAGGAGGCAACGCUACAGAGACAAGGGCCUUUAGAGUUAGAGUCACAACAGGGGAGGGAAAGACAGGGCCAGAAAGAGAACUAGAAGAAAGGGUAUGACAAAAUAGCUAAGAAAGGAAAAAUAGUCAAGAAAAGGAAAUCCUUCUUGGAAAGGAGAUAAUUAAAAUAAAUAAAUAAGUAAAUAAACAAAUUCAACAUAAGUAAAUAAAAACCACAGAGAAAACAAACAAAACAGAAAUGAAAAGGUCCCCAAAAUAUUUACAGGUUUUUCCCACAACAAUUCCAUUGGUUGCUCCCGUUAACUCCUUGUGCCUAUUUCUCACGUACUUCAAACAUCACAAAACCAUACUAAACAGAUGUGGGCAUAAUAUAGUAUCCUUUCUUGUAGACCAAGAAAAGUAUCACAUGAAGUUUAGAACAGAAUUUUGAUCUCUUGUUUCCCAUUAGCCCUGUGGAUUUGAAGACUAAAUUAAUAGGAUUUCCAUACAAAACUAUUUUUUCCCUUCUUAUUGCCCACUAAUCAUCCCCUAGAAUCCUACAUUUUAAUAUAUUUUGUAGAAUAGCACUCUUAAGAGUUGACAACAGUUGAUGAAAGAAGACAUUCAUAAUAUUUGAAUAACCACUACGAGAUUAAUCUUAAUUUUAAGGUAGUUCUCCUUUGUGUCUGACAAGGUUAAUGCUUCCAUGCUUCCUCCUCUUUGCUCAUGUUCUGAUUGGACUAAUGACUGUGACAUGACACAGAUUUCUUGUCCUACUUUCUACUUGGGAUAGUAAUACACUUCUUCCUCUGACAAUUAAGAUAUAUCUUGUAAAAUUACUAUUCUAUACACUACACUGAGCACAAGUCAAAACAAUUUUCAGUUCGGUUUGCAGGCCCCAGAGGAAACUGCUAGCAUGUGCAUAUUGCACCUUGUAUAAAAGAAGGCAUGAAUUAUACAUCAAUGUUACGUCUCAAUUCUUUUUAGAUUAUGAGUUCUUUAUGAAGUACAUCAAGAUUAUACAGAAUUUAACAUGGAAAGUGACCCAAACCCUGUCUUCUUGAGUGCAUAAUCAAAGGUAUGGGCUAACAUCUUCAGAGUAUAUAGCUUUACCACUUACAAAAAGAGAAACAACAAAGCUUCAAAAAGCAAAAUUUCAUGUGCUCAGGAAGAUCAGGAAGGCUCUGGGACUCCACAUCAACACAAAACAGUAAACAAAACAAAAUCAGCAUAGGCUCUAAUAGCACAAUCAGCACUAUCUUAUCUAUCAAGACACCUGAAAAUUAUGCCUUUCCCCCAAAAUCUGUGGAAAUUGGCAUUAGCUGUGGGUUCUCCAACUGUGUGCUUUUCUGGAGAAAUGAGCCAAAGCAGGUGUAAAGCUUUGAAAAGAAUAAAUUGCACAGGCUACAGUUUUAUGAUCCUGAAAUCAAAGAUUUUAAGCACAAGAGAAUCCACCUUGCUGAAGAGCUAAUCCCAAUUAAAGAAAUAGUGAUCAUACUUUUCUUGGCAUAAGAUGAAAAGAUCUUUCUUUUCAGCUGUAAACGGCUGUAUUUCAAGAAGUGAAUUUCAAGGGCUUCAGUAAAAGCAAGAACAUCAAAAAAAGAAUUCAUGUUAGCAAUGCUGGGCAAGUGGGUAAGAGGAUUAUGAAGAGCUUUACCAAGUACAUAUGUGAAAAAGUAGGUCUAGGACCAGGGCAGAAAUUAACAAUGAUUCAAAAAUGACUGCGAUAUUGAAUAUAGUCUGCAAAUAAGUCUGAGCAUGUGGUAAGAGAAGAUGAGCCACUAACGUAAGUAGAUAAAUGCAAGUAAAGGAAAACAUGAGGACCUUUGUGUGGAUAAAGUGCUGGGAAGAGAGCAUUAGGCAGCUUUCUGCACUGCUCAAUACCUGAGGAGAGCCAUCAGUGAAAGGAAGAACCAGAAAAUAAAUGUGAAAAAUAAAAAUAGCUUUUAAAGUUGAACUCUGAUGGAAAAAGACACUUUUGUGAUCUCCCAGAGUCUACUUUUAGUCUUAAUAAAAAAGGCUGUCACUGAUCUACCAAUUCAGUUAAAGUGAAUGGGUAUAUUGAAAACUAGGGGUGGGAGGCAUUUUCAGAGAUCAGAAAUUAUGCUGAGCAAAGACAAAUCUGGAAGGAAUUACAGUCAGAUUGAAUUAAGGCAACCAUUUUAAUGCUUUUUAAUUAAAAGACAUUUCAUUCCAAAAUUACAUUUUCAUUUCAAGUCAAAAUGAUACAUUUAACAUAGAAUAAAGCCCAUUUUACAUCUGAUUUUUAUGCUUGUUCAACAACAAAAUCCAUUACUUGCAGAGGACUGGUAAGUACCUUUCUUUCCGACUGAAGGAAGGACUAAUUGGAUACUCUCAUGUGAGAUGACACCUGAAACAGAAACUCCUGACCAACAUCAAAGCCAGUACAGUAAGCAGUUAGGCCAGUUAGGUCAAUAGGUUUCUCUAAUUCCUCUUUUGAUGGCAAGGCCAUGAGCUGAGGUAGAUAUGUUUUUAGCUCUGUUCUUAGAGGCUGUAAGAACUGUAAGAGCUAAAAGUAACUCAGCAGGCGGCACAAAUUGUACUGAUACAGAGCAGAUGAAAGGAUUGCUGUUGUGUGGGACCGGUAGGAAAGUCAGACCCGACCAUCAUAAGCUGAAAAGCUGGUCACAGAAGUGAUUUCUGUAGUGCAUUAUAGGAAGUAAACAGACAACAUUGCAACACAUAAACACCCAAGGAAGAUCAAAUUCUGCUACUGAUAGGGAGAAGCCAAAUAAAGCUCCAAAUAUUGGCAAACCAUUUGUGCCUAAGGACAAUGAACAACUGUGAGGUUUAUGUUCAGAAAACAGUGAGUGUGAAAAGCCACCAAAGCAAACAAACAGAACGUUGCAGCACUGAUCUGAGUUGGCCUUCCCAGGCAUGGGUACCUUAUAAACACUGAAGGAGGAGAAAUACAUCCACAAACAUAGAUCUUCACACACAUGCAUGAUAAAACCUUUACUUCUGACCUGGAUCGAGACUUUGAACAAAACAAUCUGCAGCACUCUUCAGGUUCCCAUGUCAUUUUUCAUGCUACACUAUGCAUGCUUUCAAAUCAUAAUGCAGCAAGAAAUAAAACCCAACCGCCUAAAGAAACAAGACACAGCAUCUGCCAUGUACAGAGCCCAUCCUACUUGAGAAAGGAUAAAAGAUGCAUAUGCAUUCAUUCACCACCAAGUAUGUGAGCUUUUCUAAUGAAGGCAGGACUCAAUUUUGCUUUCUAGCUGGCACAGAAGAGAUCCUGCAUCCAUCUCCAGGAGAUCUCUGCCUCACACACUGACUCCUUGGUUGUGAUAGUCAGAUGCUGUCUUAACCCAGAUGCAUACCACAGAAUGUCUGUUAGGGGCUUAUAGAAGAGUAAGGUGAUCUUGAACAUAACACUAUACUUAUUUUGCAGAGAAAAGUAAGAUUGAGAAGGUAGAACAAAUCAUAUGUGCUUUUGGACAUUUUGGUACCGGAUGAGGUAUAUUUGUGACAACACUGAAGAACUCAGGAGAGCCCAACCUGCACUACAGGAGGCCCCUCUGCAUGGGACUCAUCAGCAGAGAUGGAAAGGUGCCCCGAGGGCACAAAACACCAAAGAGCAGCAGCACUCUUUGCUUUCUGCAAACUCCCACUCACAUCACUAGAAAUGGAUGUCAUGACAUUAUUAUCCCUGGCUUUAUUGUACCUUGUGUGCAGUAGAUUAAAUGCUGGGAGUAGGAUGGCAGCAGAGCUCAAAUAUAUCUAAACUAACUUAAUGUUGUUUAUCCCCACAAUAACAGAAAAAAAGGAACGCUUAUGAUUAUGUUCAUAAAUAUUUGUUUUCUAGGAAAAAGAAAACCAAACCUCACAAGGAGCAGUCAGCUACUGAAAAAUUUGUCCCCCUUUUCAUCUUUGUUUCAACCUUUUAGAAAUAUGCUGUUUUCCUCAUGUGGAGAGCAGUAAAACAGUCUUAUAAUUCACUUAUAAUUCACACUGGAUAUUGAAUAAGAGAUAAUUAUUUAUCAACCACUUAUCUCGUGCAUUAAAACAGCAUCAAAAUGUACCAUCAUCCUGUUGGUAUUUGACAUCCAGGAUGUUGCUACAUACAGAAGAUGAGCUGGAGGUGUCACAUCCGAGGUCAGAUACCAGAAGGUCUGCUUCUCCCAGACUUGUAACGCAGUUGCCAGCUAGUUGGACAAACACAGGGACUACAUAAUUCACGCGUAUGCUUACAUAAAAGAUUUAUGCUUUUUUGUUUUUGUCUUUGUUUCUGCUCAUAUUAUAGACAAACCCAGCAUUUUUAUGCGCUGCAUACUAAAAGCACUGUAAACAAGUGGCUUGUGAAAACACCACAGCCGUUUGCAAUGGCAGAUAUUAGACACAUCCAGUCUGACAACUCCUAGUUACAUCAUCAGCUGUUUGCCUGUUUUUAUCCCAAUACAUUCACAACUCACCAAACUAAGCUAAUGACCAGGUACCUUGCACUACCACAGUUGGUCCAUAGUAACCUGCUCAUCCGCUAACACUUGUUUCUAGGCCCAGCUUUUUAGAUAAAUCAUAAAUAUCCAUGGCUGAGACACUGUUAUCUCUGUGCAUGGCAAUACACAGAAAGGAACAUGUAUUUUUCAUUCACAGAAGAACUCACACGCUGUAAAAUUCUGGAAAAGACAGAGUUACUUGUACAUUUAAGCCAUGCUGGCAGACAAGCUGAUGUAGGGGAGUUUGGUGCCUUCAGCCAUUCGUGAAACAGGGCAAAUCACCAAAACCUCGACCAGAAUUAAAUAGUAGGGCAGUUAUUUUGAUUUCAGGGCAUGUCCUUUCCUUUGCACCAGCAAUAGCCUCCCAUGACAGAAAUAGCAUAGGUCAGUUCAGACUGAGGAGCUCCUCAUAGCCUCAGCCUUUUCCUUCUAUAUCUAAAAACUCCUUUGUUACCUCCACAGGAAUCACUUCUUAAAACCUUAGGAUUGCUGUCAGCUGUCUAGGAUUCCAUCGAAUUUCCAAAAUCUUUUUAAACCUGGGCACAGUAUUCUCGCGUGUAAGCAAAGUUGCAAGAAGCAAAAUGAUUUUCCCGUCCUGAAAAGUCAUACCCUAUUUAUAUACCUUGUACAGCACUCAUUUUUUGCAGCUUCAUCACAUUGUGAACUUGUCUCAUUUGUCCAUCACCCUCAGGACUUUCUCUGCAUCGCUGCAUUUAAAACUUAUGAUUAGUAAACUGGCCCUAAAUAAAAAUAACUCCCUCUGUGAGCCCUUAACCAGAACUGUGAGUAUUUAGACAAGAGAACACUCCUCUACUUUCCAAACUCCAUCCUCCCUAGUCGUGCUGCAAACAAACACAUUUCCUCCUACCACACACUAAUUCCACUAUAAUGGCUUCUCAAAAAAGCUUUGCUGUGGGUUGAGAGGAAAUUGAAAAGAAAAUAAAACACCAUGCAGAGGCUCCAGUCCUAUCACAGGAAGGUAAGUGCAGGUACUGGAUGUACUUCUACCACUCAUUAAACCUGAGGGUGGAUCCAAGAGUUGCUGUUUUGUUAUAAUCACAUCUGCUCCAGCACCUUUCUGUUUUGAACACCUCUCUGUGAAGCAUUUCUCUGCAGUCUCAGGUGUCCCCUCAGAUAUCCCCUCAGAGCUGGAAAAUGGCUUAAUUGAUGGCAAUUGGGCUUUUUCUUCUCUGCGUUCAAGUCCAGUUCUAAGCCAUUUAAUUCACAAUAUGGGAGUAUGCUGGAGUUACAUUUUAAAUUAUACAUCUGUAGUGAGGACCUCUAGAAACUUCUACAUAAAGCACAGUAAGACGAUGUUCUUAGUUUAUAUCAUUCUAAAAGUUGAUGCUCUGUGAAAAUCACCACAAUAAAAGAAAAAUCACAGCAUGAUUUAUGGACUUCGCGUCAAGGUUAACUGCUGCAAAAUUGGCUUCCUGAUGUGACAGAAAGUUUACUCAUUCUCUCUUCUGCUGAUUGCAUUCCUACCAAGCAGCAAACUCGUGAAAAACAGCAGCCUAUGGCCAGCACCUGUUCCCACUCGUGUUAUGCUGCAGUCACUACUGAGAGGCUAUGGGACCUGCACCCUCAGGCAUUUUCCAAUCAUCACCAGGCACAGCCAGGGCUGCUCUGACUAAGCGUCAGUGAGGGUUCUGCUUGAAGCAGGAGAUGGGGCAGAUGAUGACCACAGGAUCCUUCCACACAAUGCUUCAUGUGAAAUUAGCAGGAAAGUCAGUUACAUCUCAGUGCUUUGUAGAUGUCAAGUCCUGAAUAACAGGAGAGGCAAAAACACAUCUAAAAAUAAAAAUAGUCAAAGGAUGCCUUGUUUUUCCUGUCUCCCAACAGUAACGAGAGCCAGGAGCAGGCAGAAAACACAAAAGAUCUCUUUCUCUCUGGCAGCUCAGGCGGGUGACUCACAGCAAGCAAUGAACUCUCCGCAUGCUGCUCCUGUCAGUGCUGGGCAGAUUUGCCUUUUGAGCCCUGACCUGGGCCAUACGGCUGCGGACAGAAACACGGAGCCUGACUUCUUCUUAGCAGCUCUGUCAAUAAGAAAAUGCUAAGGACAGUUGAGGACAGCGAUCACUGAAACAUCACAUUUGCAUUCAGCUAAAAUCCCGGAGCCAGGAGAGCAGGUUGAAGGAAUGCCAGCACUCACACCCCACAGCUGCUAUGAACUGCAGUGAGCUGCCUCAGACCUUUCCUCCCAGAACUCAGCGUGCCAUUGCAUGCCAUUAACCUUUACUCCUACCCAUCUCCAGCAGGAAAAUUUAUGACACGUGCUCUUGCACUCCUCUGCCAGGUACGUUACACACCAAAAAUCAUAGUUUUCCUUGUGACUUCCAACUGGCAAGCCAGAGCUAACAAUGAAACAAAGGCAGCUCUGAGGAUGGUUUUGCAACGGACUUAUUUUUGCCCAGUGACUAUAUAUCACAGUUGCCUGCAAACACUGAGGUGCUGACAGCAUUUUUCUCUUAGCAUUUUCACAAUACUACACCCAAAGAAUGCUGUUUGUGCUCCUCCAGACUCAUAGGCAGAUAGAAUCUUGAAAUGAAGAUUAUAUUUUUUUAAUCUUUCACUUGGUUUUGAGGAACCAAUAGUUUUGCACAUCAGCUGAAUUUACUAUUACAUUUAUUAGAGCCAGAAAGCUGAAUUUCAUUUCAAAUGGCCUUCAGCUAUGGACACCGAAAACAAAUCCCUGUAGCUCGAAUAGCACUGUACUACUGUCUUGAUUCCCCAUGUAAACAGAUUUUGUUUUCAUAGGUCUUAAUCCUAAAGGCAAUGAGCGUUAUGGCUGUGACAUCUGCUGCCAGUGCAGCUGUGGCUCCAGCUGGUUUUCUGCCCUGGGGUACAGUAACAGCCCAAUUCUGAGGGGAGGGAAUGUAUAAUAGGUCAUACCAUCAUAAUCACCAAUCACGAUAGCGAUUGUUUUUGAAAAAAAAAUCUGUUUCACAGAAAGUAUGAUUUAAGAAGCAUUCCCAAGAUUGCUCAAGCUUGUGAGCAACAUACCCGUUUUUCCUGUCUUUAUUGAAUGCAGUGUGUUACUGUUUACCUGCACACCAGGCAGAAGGAAAGUAUUUUAUGGCUGCUUUGCACCGCUCAGGGCUAAAAAGAACCAUCUCCACAUUGCACAGGCUUCAUGACUGACAGUGUUUCCUGUGGAGUUCACCAGAAAGCGAACCACAUGACUUAGUACUAAAUGUAGGACUGGUGGAAGCUUCCAGGUUCAUACCCCGGAUGAUUCUUGACCACGUUCUGGAGGUGGCUCAGAACGUGGCAGCGCAUUUCCUCUCCCUGAGAUUUUCCUCCUCUAUUUUAGAGAAUACAGCUCCUUCAUAGUUCAAGAAGUACUUCUAUUCAAAGCUAGCACCAUCCUUCCUACGAAGUCUGUCCCUGUAUUAUGCUUUCAGCUCCAAGCCUAGUUCAGUUUUAUUUUGAGUGCUGCAAACUUUGACUGUUGCACAUGAAGUAGGACAACUUCUGGUACGUCCUGAAGUGUGUAAGCAUAUCACAGAAUUUCCAGUGACUGAGGUAGAUUAGUCCUAGUGGCUGUGGUGGCUCCUUUCUCUCUUAAACCAACCCACAGAUGCCAUUAGUGACUGAGCUGCUACACAGACACUUGCCAUCAGGAACUGUCCCUGCCAGAAAAGAAGAAUUCAUGAGAAAUUAAUUGUAUUUAAUUCCAAUUUAGACAGAUUUGAAUCUUUACCCUGAGACUUCAGGGUAAAGAACGAGUUCUCUGAGCAAAAUUCCUACUGUGAGGUGCUCUAAAGAGAGCUGUAUGGCGUCAACAGUUGACUCCUUUGUGACAUUCAGUCACUACCCAAGGUCAGGUGAGGGCAAACAAGUGAAUGCAAAAGUAAUUGUUUAGGAAAGAAACAGGAAACAUCAACCAGACUUGUGAAUUUGACAGAUAGGAAAGGAGCUUGUGCUUAUCCUAAGCAAAGAUGCAAAUGUUGGAUAGACAGAUUACAUUGGUCUGGAGCCAACUGAGCGAUUGUAGAACCAUUGUGAAAAGAGCACGUGCAGAGUAAUAUUGAUCACAAAUCACUUACUAAGCAUAUUGACACAGGCCUUGCCAUGAAUUUGGAGAGAUUCAAAUUUAGAUCUGACAAGCAAUUGCUGUCAGAAGUGAUAGCUGCUUACGUCAGUCAUUUCUGUGAUCCAGCAAGCAUAUGUGAAUUCAGUAAUCCCCAAUAACUAGAGAAUACUUCAGACUACAGCCAUUUGCAUGUUGCCUUCAUUUUGGUGCCAGGUUCUAUGGGAAGAUGAAUCUCCAAAACAUUUCUGGAUGACCUGGUAAGUUGAAAUAUCAAAAAAGCAAGUAUUGUAGUUACAGAGCACAUGCCCUGGAGCAGAGAGAAUGUUGAAUAUAAUGUACUUAAAACAAAAUUCCCUUAGAAAAUGACUCACAGAGGAUUUGGUUACUCUUUCAGAAGUCUUUUACACUGCUCCAGUAGCACAGGCAGUUUGGAAACUCCCUCUCUUUACAGUUUAAAAACCUCAUUGAGUUUCUCAGAUUGCAAGGGAAAAAACAAACAAAAAACCACGGUAACACUUCUGUAGAAGUCUGAGCAAUGGAGAACUUUAAAAACUCACCCUUCUGUUACUAUUUCUAUAAUUCAGCAUAAAAUAGGAAAUUAUGCUGGAGCAUAAUCCAAAGUAAUAACAGGAUCAACUUCUGUAUUCUUGCUCAACAGCCCGCAGAUUACAUGUUCCAAUUACCUUUGGGGUGUGUUAGAACAAUCACUGGUGUGCAAUUUCCAGUUAAACUUCUUCAGGAAGAAAUCCAGUUCCUGUCCUUCAAAAGUGGUGUAACUUAAAGGACAUCAAGCACAAAAGAUUCAGAGAACUGAGAUCCCAUUAAAGCCAGAUGAGCUGUAGGCUGCUGUGUGACUUGGAAGCACUUCCCAAUCCUGCAACAAUGCCAGCAACACUAUGGUCACACUGAAACGUUUGUAAGCUGCCCUCGGAGAAAUCACAGCGCUUCUCUAUGCCUCACACUACAAAGAUUUAUACUACGUGGUGGCUAUCACAACUUUCAGUGUGCGCACAGUCUCCUCCAUGCUCCACGAGAAGUUUCUCACACCCAGCAUUCCCACAUUACUCCAUCCUCCCUGGACAAGUGAGCCUUUCUCAUUUUUAGCACUGUCAGUUCCUCCAACUGCAGCUGUUUGAGCCUCACGGUGAGGCAGAUGGCAGCCUUUGUUCAGUCUGCCUCACGUGUUUUCUCUUUCAUCAAAAUGGCUGUCAUCUUCCAUUUUGGGCACAGGGGUGUACAGCAGAUGAUUCACCACCGUGUUUUUCUGUAUGAGUGCAAAACUGAGCUUCGGCACAAGUGCUGCCCUUCACUGCGAACAGUGGGGUUAAAGUCGAGCCCAGUGACAAAUUGAUGGGAGUUGUGGAAAUCCCACAUAGCAGUAAGAUGGGAGUGGGCAGCAGAAGUGAGACGGGGAUCGUGCUGAGGGAGGGAAAGCAGUUGUUGGACAUUGGGAAAAGUGAGGCAGCCAACUGUUGUGAACAGUCCGUGAGGCAUCUCGUCUGGGCACCUGCAGAAAAACAUCCAGACUUCCCACAGUUUACAAGCAAAAUUCAGCAUCGCAACCCCUGGUCUGAUGUGAGGCUGAGGAAGAGGUGCUGCUCUGGUCCCAGCUAAGUGACAAAUCCAAGCAGAACUGAAAGAAGGCGCUUUUGAAGACCCAUGGAUACUUCCUUGCUAUUUAAUAAUUGUAUUUUUAACUUGCAUUUAAUGUCAUGAUAUAUAUGUAGUUCAAAUACAUUUAAAAUUAUUUUUAAGAGUUUUCAAUGAGUGAGAAUUCUUUAUUUUAAAAAGACUAAAGAUUCCAAUCAUAGUUAUAGUACUCAACAAUGGAAGCCUAUUAGUCUAAAGUUUUUCUAGGUGUUAACAAGAUGGCUAAUGUCAGUACACUAUUACAUGUAGGAGAGGUUGUAGAAGUUUCUCUUAGAAAGAAAUAUGAAAGACUUCAUUUUAAAUAAAAUCUGAAUGGAAAUAUGAAAGGUAUGUUGCCAUUAACUGCUAUGGUACCCUUCUGUUCUGUUUCCUGGUUUUUGCCUGUAAUCAAUCCGGUUAUCAGUGUAUGCUCAACAGUUAUUUAAUUUUAUCACAGCCCUACCUAUCUUUAAAUAAACUUUCCUGAAAAGCUCUCUUGUAUUCAUAUCAUUCUUAAUCC